UAAAAAGCACAAUAUGCUCCUAAGAUUUACUGGUUGAUCUUGCAAGUAAACAUUAUUGAAACCAGCGAUUGUUUACCAAAAAUCAGUGUAAACAACAACACAGAAAAAGAAAUUGCCACCAGCUAACUUGGACUUAUCAAACACAAGAAUGACUUAGCUAAAGUCGUUAUCAGAUUAAUAUAUGGAUAUAUUUUACCCAGGAAAUAUAAGAGAUGUAAAUCAAUCAGCUGAGAUGAUCCUUAUGGAAGGCUUCUGACAAACCUGUUCUAUCCAUGUCAAAAAUUCAAAUGAUAGAAUCUGUUGAAAUAUUUGACAUCCUUCGAAUUUCAUAUGCACAAGCCUUCACAGCUCAGAAUAUGUUAAAAAUGAAGGUAAUAAAUGACGUAGUAGUUUGUGAUAAGGAUUUCUGCAUCAGAAACACAAAUCCUAUCAUCAACAAAGAUUUUCCAAUCAUCUCCAAGCUAUAUUGUAAAGAGUUCAUUGAGGAAUUCAUCUUAGAAGAAAGAAGAAUAUGAGAUUUCAUCAAUCCAGAUCAUAUCCCAGACGCUCCACCCAACUUCCACAAUGAAUCUCGUAGAAGGAACAUUUGGACAGAAAUAACUCGGGAGUUUUUUAAUUAAUUUUUUUUUAUUAAAGCAUUACAUUUACAUGUGACAUUUUUAUUUAUUUUUAAAUUAAAAAUUACACAUAUUGUGUAACAGCCCGUUUUUCGCUAGAAUUAUUUUAAUUAUUUAUUAUAUGUGGUUGUAUGUGCUUGUGUCUGUUUAUUUGUCUCUGUGUAUUUUAUUCGGGAU
rnacentral:lncRNA from 1 species